GGUUACACAUGAGAAAAGUCUGCAGAGAUGAGAAAGCACUGAUCUGCAAUACUGUUUAAAUCCACUUUCUCUGAAAGCACACACCAGGAAAGAAAUAGAGAUCAGACAUGGCUUGAAGUUAAUGUGACGCGCCACUAGAGGGGCAUCCGGGAUUCUUUCGGAUUCCAGGGUUAGUCGCACUGAACUCGAGAGAUCAUCUUUUGUCAGAUGGAAGAAUUUAUUAGAUCUAAGCAGUUCUACACAUAUGAC